CUGGCGUUGCUGUGGCUCUGGUGUAGGCCAGCAACAACAGCUCCAAUUAGACCCCUAGCCUGGGAACCUCUUUAUGCUGCAGGUGCAGCCCUAAAAGAAAAAAAAAAAAAAAAAAAAAAGACAAAAGAAUCUUUAAAUGAAGUCAGUGUCCUAGAAACUUAGCAAAGUGAUGUGAGACAGGAAACAAAAAGAUAUGUCUCUCUCUAUCCUUCGGUAGACAGGGUACACCUCAGCACUUGCGUCCUGAGGCUUCGCAAAUCGAACAGCGACUGUCUGUUUUAGCUAUUAUUUCUGUGUGGGGAAAAUGGAUGACAAGAACAAUGCCUGCCAACUCCUCCUUGCUGCCCCAGUCUCACUGCCCUCCAGCAGAGGCCACCUCUCAGAGUCCUGCACUACUCAAAGUAAGUACACACAUAUUCUUUGUCCCAACAGUCCUUGCUUGGACAUAUGUUCCAGACAUGCUCACCCAGGUCCUGAAGGGGACAUGUACCAGAUAUCCACUGUGGGUUUGUGUGUGGUGCCAGGAAAGAGGGCAAUAAAAUCCCUGUGAAAAUGGAGGUACAAAAUGUGGUGGCAGCCCACCCCUGAGUGCCCGUAGCAGAUGGUAUAAGUUACCAGAUGUACUUUUUGUUUUUCAUUUGUAAUGAAUUUUAUUUUUUUUUCCCAUUAUAGCUGGUUUACAGUGUUCUGUCAAUUUUCUACUGUACAGCCGGGGACCCAGUUACACAUAGAUGUAUAUAUUUCUUUUUUCUCACAUUAUCAUGCUCCAUUAACAAAUUAAUGCCAUUUGCGGCAACACGGAUGGAACUAGAGACUCUCAUACUAAGUGAAGUAAGUCAGAAAGAGAGGAGUUCCCGUCGUGGCGCAGUGGUUAACAAAUCCGACUAGGAACCAUGAGAUUGCGGGUUCGGUCCCUGCCCUUGCUCAGUGGGUUAAGGAUCCGGCAUUGCCGUGAGCUGUGGUGUAGGUUGCAGACGCGGCUCGGAUCCCGCGUUGUUGUGGCUCUGGUGUAGGCCGGUGGCUACAGCUCCGAUUUGACCCCUAGCCUGGGAACCUCCAUACGCCGAGGGAGUGGCCCAAGAAAUGGCAAAAAAAAACAAACAAAAAAAAGCGUCCACACAAAGGAAUACACGUGUAUCAUACACAUAUAAAUGAAAGAUACACAUUACAUAAACUGGACCCAUUACCUAUGUGAGAAGAAACAUAAGAGUGAAAAGACAUGAAUACCUAAAUAAACCAGGACACAAAAAUUGGUACAUGAAUAUUCAGAGCAGAAUGAUUCCUAUUACCCAGGAAGUGGAAACAUCCCAAAUGUCCAUGAACUGAUGAAAUGUGAUAAAAUGUGGCACAGUCCUAUGAUGGGGUAUUAUUUGGUCUUAAACAGGAAAGAAGUACUGAUUCAUGCUACAACAUGAAUGACCUUUGAAAGCAUUAUGCCGAGUUAAAGAAGCCAGCCCCAAAAGAUUAUCAUUCUUAUUGGGUGAUUCCAUUUUUAUGAAAUGUCCAGAAUUCACAAAUGUUUUCGUUUUCUUCAUGGUUUCCUUUGCUGUGCAAGAGCGUUUAAUUUGGUCCCAUUUGUUUAUUUUUUGUUUUUAUUUUCAUUGCUCUAGAAGAUGGAUCCCCAAAGAUAUAGCUGCGAUUUCUGGCACAGAGAGUUCUGCCUAUGUCUUCCUCUAAGAAUUUUAUAGUAUCUGGUCUUACAUGUAGGUCUUCAGUCCAUUUUUAGUUUAUUUUUUCAGAAUACACAAAUCUAGUGGGAGUUCUCUUUAUGGCUCAGUGGGUUAAGAACCGACAUAAUGUCUGGGAGGAUGUGGGUUCAGUUCCUGGCCUUGUCAGUGGGCUAAGCUGCAGUGUAGGUCACAGAUGCUGGCAUGUCUGUGGCUGUGGUGUAGGCUGGCAACUGAAGCUCUGAUUCAACUCCUAGCCUGUGAACUUGCAUAUGUUACAUAUGCUGCAGGUGUGGCCCCAAAAAGAAAAAAAAUAAAAUGGUUGCCUGGCACUGGGGUUGGGGGGGUGGCAGGAGGAAUUGAGGGAAAAUGGGGAGUGACUGCUAAUGGGUAUAAGGUUUCUUUCUGGGGUGAUGAAAAUGUUUUAGGCUUAAAUUGUAUUGAUGGUUAUACAACUCAGCCUGUAUAUUGAAAAUGAUUGUUGUACACUUUAAAUGGGUAAGGGUUAUUUUGGGGGUUUUUUGUUUGUUUUUUUUUAUGGAAUUCCCAAGCCAGAGGUUGAAUCAGAGCCACCAGCUGAGUCCUACACCACAGCCACAGCAACGCCAGAUCCUUAGCCCACUGAGGGAGGCCAGGGAUCAAACCUGUGUCCUCACAGAGGUAAUGUCGAGUCUAACCUGCUGAGCCACAAUGGGAACUCCUAAAUGGGUGAGUUUUAUAUGUGAGUUAUAUCUCAAUAAAGACAUUUAAAAAGAAAAA
rnacentral:lncRNA from 1 species